CCCGCGUUUCAUUAGCUUGUUGGUGAGGUAACGGCUCACCAAGGCUUUUAUGGGUAACCGGCCUUAGCGGGUGACCGGCCACACUGGGACUGAGAUACGGCCCAGACUCCUACGGGAGGCAGCAGUCGAGAGGCAUCCACAAUGGGGGAAACCCUGAUGGUGCGACGCCGCGUGGGUGAUGAAGGUUUUCGGAUCGUAAAGCCCUUUCAGCAGGGAAGAAUGUAUCCGGUGCUAAUACCAUCGGAUGAGAGACUGUACCUGAAGAAGAAGCUCCGGCUAACUCCGUGCCAGCAGCCGCGGUAAGACGGGGGGAGCAAGCGUUGUUCGGAUUUACUGGGCGUAAAGGGCGUCUAGGCGGACUAGCAAGUCAGGUGUGAAAGCCCACGGCUCAACCGUGGAAUUGCACUUGAAACUGCUAGUCUUGAGUACGGAAGAGGAAAGCGGAAUUCCUGGUGUAGCGGUGAAAUGCGUAGAUAUCAGGAAGAACACCGGUGGCGAAGGCGGCUUUCUGGUCCGAUACUGACGCUGAAGCGCGAAAGUGUGGGGAGCAAACAGGAUUAGAUACCCUGGUAGUCCACACUGUAAACGAUGGACGCUAGGUGCCGGGCAAUCGA
rnacentral:rRNA from 1 species